AUUGAACGCUAGCGGGAUGCUUUACACAUGCAAGUCGAACGAGUGGCGGACGGGUGAGCAAUAUAUCGGCCCGUGCCCAGUAGCGGGGGAUAACUACUCGAAAGAGUGGCUAAUACCGCAUACUUUUGGAGCGGCCGAUAUCGGAUUAGCUAGGUGGGGGGGUAAAGGCUCACCAAGGCAACGAUCCGUAGCUGGUUUGAGAGGACGACCAGGCACACUGGGACUGGGACACGGCCCAGAAUCCUUCGGGAGGCAGCAUGUGGGAAUUUUGGACAAUGGGGGGAACCCUGAUCCAGCCAUCCCGCGUGUAUGAGAAGGCCUUCGGGUUGUAAAGUACUUUUGGCAGGGAAGCGGUAUCUGCAGGAUAAGCACCGGCUAACUACGUGCCAGCAGCCGCGGUAAUAC
rnacentral:rRNA from 1 species